UUUUACAAAGCAGUUCAUAGAAAUAGGGAAUUAGAGAGAAGGGACUUUAGAGAUCGUGGGGGUCCAACCCCUUCAUUUUACAUUUGGGAAAACUGGGCAGUGACACAGCCAAGGUCACACACAGUGGCAGAGUCAGGAUUGGAAUUACGACUCCAGACAUCCCAGGCAAGCGCUUUCUCCACCAUUUCUGAAGUGGCCUUCUGCCGCAGGGGCAGCUUCAAAGACUGGCAUGUAAAACCACCUACACUGACACACACCUUGGGGUGUUUACCCCUUGCCCAGCCGGCCGAUUUCUCUCCCAGGCCCGCUCCACUCCUCUCUUUCUUCGUCUCACGGCGCUGGGAAGAAAACAAGCCAGUUCCCACCCGCUGAUGAAAUGACUGGAACGCGGGCGUCUGGAGCGAACGACCCGGCGCGCAAAGAGGAGGAGGGCGGGGGUGGCAUCUGCGGUCCUUUCGGGGCACUGAUGCUCCCCUGAGCCCCAGGAGCCAGCGGAACGAGCCCGGGGCCUGCCAGGGAAGCGGGCUGGGCUGGGGGCUGGCGCCGCCGCGCCGAGGGGCAGCGGGAGGAUAAUUGGAGUGAGCCAGGGGUCAGUGACACAGCGGGCGGGUCGGAACGUCUUGCCUAAUGCAAGCCGCAGCCUUGGAAGAGGACAGGAGGGGAAGCGGAGGGGAGUGAAGGCACCAGGUUUUCGGGAGUAUGAAUGUAAAGCUCUGGAAGCAUCACUUAGUGGGCAGAGAACAGAGAGAACCCUGAGAAUGGACUUUCCCAGCCAAAAGAUGGCAGCGGAUGGAACAGUGGCAGAGUAUCAAGAAUUCCUGUAGAAGCACCCACAUUUGCCUACAAGGCCUGAGACAUGUGUUCAUGAACAAUAUUUUGGAACCCCAACUUUUAGGGUAGAGAAGAGAGGAUUUUAAUGUCCUAGGCUGUGCAACCUCAGAGUCUAGCCUUCUAGCCAGGUAGGGGAGAUUUUUUUGGGGGGUAGCAGUAGCCUUAACAAUUCCCUUGAGUACUCCUAAAUUGAAAAGUUAGGCAACAUACUUGGUGCUGAUGGUUCUGAACGGCAUAUGUCUUGAACAGAAGGAAUUGCCCACAUGGCCCCCACAGCUGUACAAACAGUAGAAGGGAAUUAAAGCCAUUAUCUGAGAGGGGUAAGAGAUGGGGAUGUUGUUGUCCCCUACACACACACACACACACACACACACACACACACACACAUCCAUUACUAUGAAUGAUUGAUUCGAAUAUUAUAGAUCCAGUGGGAAGGGGGAUUACCUAUUCAGUAUUUUCAAAGUGUAUUUAUCUUCCUGGGAGAGUCCAAAUUGCAAAGUAAGACUAGGAGUCUUGGAAAGAUUGUGGGGAAAAAAGAUUUUGCUUGAAUGUCAAGAGGUGGUCCUGCUGGUAACUUCAAGUUCAAUUUCUUUUCAAGUGGGACUUUUGAACUAAUGUGAAUAUUCAAGUGUUUUGUGUAUCUGUUGAGUGAACCAUUUGUAUCUUAUUUGUUUCCUGUGAGCGUGAGAGACUGCCCUUUUCCUGUUAUGCAUUGGUUAUCUUUAGUGCUUGUAUAGGAUCUGGGGAGCCCUUUUAUCCACAACCUGGACAACAUGAUCAUACUUGUAGAUUUUCUUGCAUUAACUCUGGCUGGGAACAGGAGUCUAAAAAGUUACUCUUUAAGAUCAUCCUUUGAGAUUGGACACUGCUUUAGCCCAGAGCUUGGAGGGUCUGGGCCAUAACAUAAAGAAAAAACAUUUGCCCUUCUGUCCUGUGGCACUUCUCUUGUUUUCCCUGAUCUUUCAAUGACAUUUUUGUUGAAUAAAUGAGGAAAUAAGUGAUGAAUAAAUAAAUGAAUGAAACAGGAGAAAUCUAUAUAACUAAUAUGCAAUACUUGAGAUGUGAUGAGAAAAAGAGAGAGUUCUUGUUAUUUGGUGACUGCAAUUCUUUUCUUAUAUUCCCUUGUCCCAAAAUUUUGCCCUCAUAUGCCUUUUUCAUCAUGUCUUCCUCCCCACCACUCCUUUUUCUUCUGCCCUAUACUCUUAGCCAUCAGAGGCCAAGGUGUUUAAUGUUGGGUUGGAGGAGGGAAGAACGGUAUUGAUGAUAAUAAGGGGAGGGAGAAGAAGAGGGGAGUCAUUCUAUUUUCUUUGCUACCCCCCCCCCACCAGCCCAUCUGUUCACCUUAGGCAAGCGAUCCUGUGUUUCGAAACAAAUUUUUUCCCUUGGAGAGUACUGAGGGUAAUAAAAGAUGCAGAUUGAGUAGGCAGGAUGUAUUAAAGAAAAAAGAUGGCAAGUUAGAUUUUUAAUGUUUCGCUGAGACAUUGCAAAAAGCCCUUCAUUAUGGGAGGGAAAUGCUUGGAAAAUAGCUUUAUAAUUAAUGUGAAAUGAAAGAAUCUCCCUUGGAGCAAGCAGGACUUGGCAGCUAUGCGAAUGAUGUCAAUGAGAGAGCAUCUCCUGAGCAGGGUGAUCUGAUCAGCCCCGAUCCCAGGAUACAUUCAGGUUGUAAAGCCCAUUCAGCAUAAAUCCUCCAAUCGAGGCCUUCCACAGCUCGCUGAAUUACUGCUUCCCAGAAAAUGCUGAAGCCAUUGAUCUUGAUCUUUUUAAAUCAUUAAAUGU